UCAUCAUGGAUACCCAGUGAGGUCACUGUGCCCUGGCUCUGUCCUGGAGUCAUAGGAAAGCACAGGGCUAUGCCCGCUGAUAUACAGACCCUUUCAACAACAUUGGAAAUAAAACCAUGCUGAGUCUGUGCCUGCAUACUUCUAUGACUUUCUAGAAGUCUGUGGGCAAUGACUAAGGGGUCAAACCAUGCAAGAAGCAGUC
ensembl:snoRNA SNORA73 Small nucleolar RNA SNORA73 family